GUCCUUCUCGGGGUCACACCUGGAGAGUUCUCAGCACUCUACCAGUCUCGACUACAGAAGGCAGAGUUAGGCAGAGGCAUAUCCAUUCCAUUCCUAACUUGGGCAGUGGCUAGUGAGUGGAAGGCAAUCUGCUACAAGU